rnacentral:lncRNA from 1 species
CAGGAAGGCAUCUGAUUUCAGAUGUUCCCACAUGGGCCAGAUCUGCCUGCCAGAGAAAAAAAAGACUGCUGCUGAGGCAAUUUUCUGUGAUUGAUGGAAAGUGUAUUAUUUACUUAUAGGAAGAAGAAAAAGUUACCCACUAUGAGCCUAAAAUCUUGCUAGUGAACUAACCCUCCUGAAGCAAAAGACAUUGUCCCACUCAGGAAAUGCUCCUCUAUUCCUAAGUCACGAGAAGGAUGACAGGCGGAGGUUUGGAAAUGGGCGAACCCUAAGGCACAUGAGGGACCUGGCUGCAGGAAGAGAGAAGGAGGACUCUGCAAGUUAUCUCUCUUCUCGAAUUGAAAUUCCUGAGAGCGAGAGUCCAAGGGAACCCAUGUAAGUCCUGUUCUCUACCCUCGCUUAGGAGAGGGAGUGACAUUUGUAAUGAUAGCUCUGCGGGAUAUGUCUAGUAGAUGUAGACCCUGCAUACCUCGGAAAACAACCAAUGUGACAACAGUGCUGGAGAGAACAGAGCCCAAGAGAGAAAGAAAAAUUAUAAUACCAGUUUCCCUGGUAGGUGUCAAGGAUGAAGUUACUCCCCACUUGGCAGAAAUGCAGGUGAAAAGGAAAAGAAUCCUCUGAGGGGAUGAGAGUGGUGUCAACUUAAAAAGCAAAUUUGCCUGUUAUUUUAUCUCAAAAUGAGUUUAUUCCAGAAUAG